CUUCACCGAGCCGAGCAGCAGCGGGUUCUCGGCGCUGCGCCCCUGGCCAUAGGUGGCGAGCAGGGCCUGUGCCUC
rnacentral:antisense_RNA from 1 species